rnacentral:rRNA from 1 species
AUGUGCGCCGACGUCAUGGUCGGCGACGACAUGCGGACCGGCAUCUCCGGCGGGCAGAAGAAGCGCCUCACAACAGGGGAGAUGCUGGUCGGCCCGACCAAGGUGCUGUUCAUGGACGAGAUAUCCACCGGCCUGGACAGCUCCACCACCUACCAGGUCGUCAGGUGCAUCCAGCAGAUUGUCCACCUGGGCGAGGCUACCGUACUGGUGUCGCUGCUGCAGCCCGCGCCGGAGAUCUUCGACCUCUUCGACGACGUCAUGCUGCUCUCCGAGGGGCAGAUCGUCUACCAGGGUCCCAGGGAGUACGUGCUCGAGUUCUUCGAGAGGUGCGGCUUCCGCUGCCCCGAGAGGAAAGGUGCUGCUGAUUUCUUGCAAGAGGUUACAUCAAAGAAAGAUCAGGCGCAAUACUGGAUACAGAAUGAAAAGCCUUAUCACUAUGUAUCAGUACCUGAAUUUGUUUUAAAGUUCAGGAAAUUUCACAUGGGGAAGAGCCUAAAAAAGCAGCUUUCGGUUCCUUUCAACAAGAGAAAAAUCCACAAAUCUGCUCUGGUUUUCUCCGAUCAGUCUGUUUCAACUUCAGAGCUUCUCAAGACCUCGUUCUCCAAAGAAUGGCUUCUCAUGCAGAGAAACUCAUUUAUCUACGUUUUCAAAAUAGUUCAGGGAAUCAUAGUUGCUCUAGUAGCAUCAACGGUUUUCUUGCGUACACGGCUCCAUGAAGAUACUGAGGAAGAUGGCCAAGUCUACCUAGGGGCACUUAUAUUUAUCAUGAUAGCCAACAUGUUCAAUGGUUUUGCCGAGGCAACCCUUACUCUCGCAAGGCUACCUGUAUUCUACAAACAUAGAGAUUUUCUAUUCUAUCGGCCAUGGCAUUUUACACUUCCAAAUGUUCUCCUGAAAGUCCCUAUGGCCUUGCUUGAGUCAAUAAUUUGGGUUGUAAUAACCUACUACCUCAUAGGCUUUUCCCCUGAAGCUAGCAGGUUCUUCAAACAUCUGCUUAUAGUAUUCUUGAUCCAGCAGGCGGCUGGAGGAUUGUUCAGGCUUGUUGCUGGCUUAUGUAGGACUGUUGUCGUCACUAAUACCGCUGGAUCUCUUGCCCUUCUGAUCAUAUUUGUAAUGGGAGGAUUCAUCCUACCAAGAGAUGCAAUUCCAAAAUGGCUGGUAUGGGGUUAUUGGUGUUCACCUCUUACGUAUGCAUACAUUGCUCUUGCUGUCAAUGAGAUGGAUUCUCCGAGGUGGCUGGACCAAUCUAUAGCUGAUGGAAGGCCAUUGGGAGUGGCAGUUCUAGAAAAUGCAGGUGUAUUCACUGGCAAGGAGUGGUACUGGAUUGGAGCAGGUGCCCUUCUAGGGUUCACUGUUGUGUUCAAUGUGCUAUUCACACUAUCGCUUAUGUACCUGAACGCCAUUGGAAAACCGCAAGCCAUCUUGCCUGAAGAAACUGAUGGAUUUCCAGAGAAUGACUAUGAGCAAAAGAAGGAGCCACAUAUAACACAGAGAACUACGGUUCGAACAACAGAACCUACAUCCCCGAACUCAAUUAUCACAUUGGAUAAGGUGCUUGAACAAUUACGUGGCCGUUCCCCAAAUACUUCUGAUAGGUCUGUUGGAUAUGCUCCAGGAAGAGGGAUGGUUCUUCCGUUUGAACCUCUCUCCAUGUCCUUCAAUGAGAUAAACUACUAUGUUGACAUGCCUGCGGAGAUGAAGACUCAAGGAGUAACCGCUGAUAAGCUUCAGCUGCUGUCAGGGAUAUCUGGUGCUUUUCGCCCUGGGGUUUUGACUGCCCUUAUGGGUGUGAGUGGAGCUGGAAAGACCACCCUCAUGGAUGUCUUGUCUGGGAGGAAGACUGGUGGAUACAUUGAAGGGGAAGUCUACAUAUCUGGUUACCCUAAGAACCAAGCAACAUUUGCAAGAAUGUCGGGUUACUGCGAGCAAAAUGACAUCCACUCUCCACAGAUCACAGUCAGAGAGUCGCUACUCUUCUCUGCUUUCCUGCGUCUGCCUAAGGAGGUCACUGAUCAAGAGAAGAAGGUAUUUGUGGAUGAAGUAAUGGAACUAAUUGAACUGAACGGUCUCAAGGAUGCUAUUGUGGGUCUCCCUGGUGUGAACGGUCUGUCGACUGAACAAAGAAAGAGGUUGACUAUUGCUGUAGAGCUUGUGGCAAACCCCUCAAUUAUCUUCAUGGACGAACCAACUUCAGGCCUUGAUGCAAGAGCUGCCGCAAUUGUCAUGAGAACUGUUCGGAACACUGUCAAUACUGGAAGAACUGUUGUCUGCACCAUCCAUCAACCAAGUAUAGACAUUUUUGAAGCUUUUGAUGAGCUGCUAUUACUGAAAAGAGGAGGUCAAGUCAUAUAUUCUGGACCGCUGGGUAGGAACUCCCAUAAAGUUGUCGAAUACUUUCAGGAAAUUCCUGGAGUCCCAAAGAUCAAAGAGAAGUGCAACCCAGCUACAUGGAUGUUGGAUGUAAGCUCUGCGGCAGCAGAAGUUCGACUGAAGAUUGAUUUUGCCGAAAGUUACAAAUCUUCGACUAUGCAUCAGCGGAAUAAAGCAUUAGUCAAAGAGCUGAGCAAGCCACCUCCUGGUACCAGCGAUCUUUACUUCCCUUCUCAAUACUCGCAGAGUUCCUUUGGUCAGUUUAAAUUCUGUCUCUGGAAGCAAUGGUGGACUUACUGGAGAAGUCCUGAUUACAACCUCGUCAGGAUGUUCUUUGCAUUUGUUACGGCCUUAGUGCUGGGGGUUAUAUUCUGGAGGGUUGGUCUAAAGAUGAGGAGCUCGGGUGAUCUUUUAGUCAUUGUGGGAUCAAUGUAUGCCGCUGUUAUGUUCGUUGGCUGCGAGAAUUGUAUCUGUGUUCAACCUGUUGUUGCUGUGGAAAGGACUGUAUUUUACAGAGAGCAAGCAGCUGGAAUGUACUCAGCUAUACCCUAUGCCCUCGCUCAGGUAGUUGUGGAGAUACCAUAUGUGUUCGUUGAGACUCUGGUUUAUACUCUUAUCGUCUACCCGAUGAUGUCUUUCGAGUGGACACUAGUAAAGUUCUUCUGGUUCUUCUAUGUUUCAUUCUUCACCUUCCUGUAUUUCACUUACUACGGCAUGAUGACUGUCUCCGUAUCGCCAAAUGGUCAAGUUGCUUCUAUAUUUGCCGCUGCCUUCUACUCCUUUUUCAAUCUCUUCUCAGGGUUCUUCGUUGCAAGAUCGAAAAUCCCAAAAUGGUGGAUUUGGUACUAUUGGCUUUGCCCAGUGGCAUGGACAGUUUACGGGCUUGUUGUGUCACAGUACGGGGAUGUGGAAGAUCUUAUCAAGGUGCCUGGUCAACCCGAUCAGCAAGUCUCAUCUUUCAUCAAGAGCUACUUCGGUUAUGAUAACGACUUCAUGGGCGUCGUGGCGGUUGUGCUGGCAGGCUUCACUGUCUUCUUCGCUAUGAUAUAUGCGUAUUGCAUAAAGACGUUUAAUUUCCAACAGAGAUAG